AAAGAAGAAAGUGGCUUUGGGCAAAGUCUGCCUACUUGUAGCAGAAGUCCAAGAGGUAGUCAUCUCUGCAGGCACUGAAGAGGAUACUUUUGCUGCUUCAGAUUGCUUCAUCCUACUAUCCCAGGAAACCUGGAAUCAUUGUGGAAAUAGGAAAGAGGCCACCAUCCCUCUUGUCAUAUUUUCAGGUUAUAAGAGGGCAGACGGAGCAGAAAAAGUCAGAAAGUUGCUGUCUCUGUGGGUUGCUGCAGCAGAAAUGCUAAGUAACGGCCUGAAGCAGCGAUUGAGCACCUGGUGGGAAGGCAGGGCCAACCCAGGGGAGCUCAGGUGUAUGGAAUGCAUCUGAAUGACGUGAAGGGCUGGAGCCAGGAUCCGGCCCUUUCCAGACCUCAUUUAAGGGUUGGCAGUGGAGGUGUGGCUAUCUUGUUUGAGAUCCCUGCAUGCCAGACAUCUUUUGAAGGUAAGCAGCUUUUUAUUUUUAUUUUUGUGCCCAUGGCUGU
ensembl:lncRNA